UCAACAUAUUAGGCCAGACAACAUGACCUAACCUUUAUUGAUCUUUCCUUCCUCUUUAUGUAUCCUUGGACUCUCUUGCUGAGCAUAUAUCAUAACCCAAUCCAAGUCAUCACAUGGUUCAAAUAAAUCUCUCCUCAUCAUCUUGCUUCAACCUCAAUUCUUCCUCCAAUUAUAAUUUCAUUUUCUUUAUUUCUUCACCAUUAAAAUUAAAAUUACACUAAUGAUCAAGAUUACUUCUUUCAUGGCAGCACUGAGAAGCCUAUGGAGAUUGAUCAUCACUUUUAUGAAUUUGGGUUGGUGGAAUACCAUGUCCAGCUUUGCUACUGACGCUUUUUAGGAUAGUACAACUUCUGAAGCUCACAGUUUUUGGAAUUAUGUUGUCAUGAUGAUAAAGAGGUUCUAACCACCUAGGUUGUCGACAAUGUCCUGAACUUGGCGCAAGGGUUGCUCGACCUCGGCAUCUAUUCCGAAGAUGUCCUCGCCAUUUCUGUUCUCAACAGGUGCAUCCUGCUAUCCUACACCUUUGGUGGUGGUGAUCAUGUACUGUGGGGGCUCUUUUUAGAGCGCAAGUUAGCAGGACCACUACAAGAAUAAUUGGAAAAUGGGGAUUCAGCACCAAGCCUAAGGCAAAUGAGGAUUCAGAACCAACCGAAGGUUACCGGUUAUCUCUUGUCUCACGCUCAUCAUUCAUAUUAUGCAUUUAUUUUUUAUUAUUUUGAAUUCUUGAAUUUUCUUUUUAAGAGAUAGUCAUCGGAGAGGAGAGAAUUUUCUAGCUCUGUUUUCCUCCUAUGGUCACAGCUACUUAGAGAAAAUUCAUUGUUUAAUGAUUAUAACAAAUUGGGCCAAAUUGUAUAUUUUUAAUUUUAUACAUUUUGUUAUAAAUGCUGUUGCUUGAUUUAUUCCAAAUUUAAAACUGAAAAUAAGAAAUUAGCCGAACUUCCUGAUUUUCUUUAAUUUCCUCCUCCCCCCCCAAAGAAAAGCUCCAAUUUUAGCUUCAUGUAUAAGAGAAAUUAUUAAAAUCAUGAGCCUUAUCCCAUAUCAUAAGUAAGGAUUGCAUUUCUUUUCUUGUUGAUGCUACCUGCUACUAGCUCUUUUGACAAUCCAUGAAAUAGAGCUAGGUUCAUACUCUGUUUCUGUGUUUUUCCUCCUCUGUUUAUUGCUCUAUUUCUUGUUGAU